CCGCCGCCACGCCGCCACGCCGCCACGCCGCCACGCCGUGGCUUAAAGCCAUAGCAUCAGUUAUUUUUGCUGACAAAUCUGAGGGCUGCCUGGGCUCAGGUGCUGGCCCUACCACAUUUCUUACCUGGCAGCCAGAGUCUCCCAGAGAGCGUGUGCCAAGUGCGACUGGCAGCGGCCAAGUGGCUGCCAUCCUGCUGCUUGAGGGCAUCACAAAGGCCACACAGGUUGGAGGUGGCGGGGGCGACAGAGAUGGCAUCUCUCGGCGGGAAGGGGGGGGCGGGUGGGUAUCAAUGAAUUGGAAAAUCCCACAGGACCCCGUGUGUUCCCACACAUCCUCUGCCCAGGGAAGGGGGGCGGAAGCUCCCAGAGGCCCUAACCACCUCCACUCUGGGGCUGCUCUGCUCACCGAGCUCGCUCUUCAGUGUCUGGAAGGACUUGGGGCAGAAAGAAGCACCAUGUGUGACGGAGGGGGAUGCUGUCAGCUUGAGGCCAGCGGGGCCCACCCUGUAGUGGAAUCAGAGGACGGCAGAGGGUCUGUGUCGGAUCCCAGAGGCGCCUGCUACGUCUGGAGCUGGAUUUUAACCCGAGUCUGCCAGCUCAGACCCAGCUCUUUCAACUACCUGAAAAUGAUCACCAUGCUGAAAUUCAAGAGACCAGGAUUCCAGUCUGAUCUUUAUAACUAAUUAGCCUCGAAGAAGGCUGUGCUUGGUGUCUCCUCCUUUCAGAAUGGGGACUAGAUCCCACCUCUGUGACAUGGAUGGAGCACGGGGCUGUGCAUCACAAAGGUGGGGUAUUUUGUGGGGUUUUUUUUUUUUUUAAGAUUUUGGCCACACCCACAGCAUGUGGGAUCUUAGUUCCCUGACCAGGGAUCGAACCCAUGCCGCCAGCAUUGGAAGGCAGAGCCUUAACCACUGGACCAGCGGGGAAGUGCCAGGAAUGUGGGUUUUAGCUUUGACUCUGUCACAUGCCACCUGGACAAGACGUUUUAUCUCUUAAAUCUCAGCUCCUUACACUGUGGGAUGAGAUGUCCCUCAGGGUGUGACCUGCAUCACCCUUGUCCCCUAAACAGCUGCCUGAAGGAGCUCUGGUCAGGAAGUACGUGGGGGACUGUGGAGGUGAGGUCCCGCUCUUGGAGGUUCACAUCAGGCUGCACAUUUGUAUAUUACAGCCUCUGACAAUCCCAUUAAAGACAUCUACCUUGGGAAUUCCCUGGCGAUCCAGUGGUUUGGACUCCACACUUUCACUGCUGAGGGCGUGGGUUCGAUCCAUGGUUGGGGUACUAAGAUCCCACAAGCCGCGCAGCCGGAAAAAAAAAAAAAAAGGUACUUACCUGACUAUAGUUAACCCAGGAUUUCCCGAGCUUGUUUGCCCCCGGCCCCUUCCCUGCUUUUUCCUCUGUUAAUAGCUUUAGAGACUUUAUGUCAUCAUAACACCUCUUGGGGAAUAGGAAGCUAAAAGAUUUCUGUGUCCCAUCAAUUGUGACAGUCAAAGAUUCAGCGAUUGUCCCAUCACCCGCUUGGAAAGAUACCACAAAGAUGUCAGAGAAGAUGGUCAGCUGAUUUUUCAGGAUUCCCCAUGGAAGAUAUUGGCUUGAUGCGGUUACUGUGUUUUAAGGUCUGGCUUCUAAUUUUGCGUAUCUAGAAUCUUGAUCUGGUUAAUGCAUCUGUGAUGGUUAAUAGUAUGUGUCAACUUGGCUGGGCCCCAGUGCCCAGAUAUUUAGUCAAACGUGACUCUCAGUGUUCCUGUGAAAGUGUUUUUUGGGUGAGAUUAACGUUUAAAUCAGUGGACUUUGAGUAGAGCAGAAUGCCCUCCGUUACGUGGGUGGGCCUCAUCCAACCAGGUGAAGGCCUUAAUAGCACAGAGACCAACCUCCCCAGAGCAAAAGCGGGAAUUCUGCCAGCAGACGGCCUUCAGAUUUGAACUACAGCCCUGGCUCUUCCCAGGGUCUCCAGCCUGCUGGCUAACCCUGCAGAUUUUGGACUUGCCAGCCUCCGUAAUUGUGUGAGCCAACUCCUUAAAAUAAAUGUCUCUCUCUAUAUAUACAUACACAUCCCAUUCUUUCUGUUUCUCUGGAGAACCCUGACUAACACGGCACCCAUAAAAGAACAGACUCAAGGAACUCACUACAUGAGCCAGACUCUGAAAGAAUUCAGCAAGGGGAACUCCUUCCAAGAGCAGACUUUUGCCGACGCAGCUGGUCACCCACUUUACGGGGAAAGAGAAGUAACCUGAGAUAAGAAUGUAUACAGAUUCACGGCCAGUGAUAAAUAGCUUCACUGGUUGGUCAGAGACCUGGAAGAAAAAGAGGACUAAAACCAAGCGUGUAGGUUUUUGUAUCACAUGCAAUGUUCACUAGAGAACAUUCACCAUGGAAGAGGCCACCCCGGUGCUGACACAACAGGCAUAUGACCAGAGUAGCCAUGGCAACAGGGUUGAAGGCUGUGCAUGGGCUCCAUUUACCAAGGCUCAUCUAGCUGUUACCACUGCCACUAACGUAGACCAGUGUCAAGCCCCACAUAUGGUACCAUCCCUCAAGGAGACCCACCUACCGCUUGGCGACCAGUUGGUUACAUCGGACCCCUUCUACCCUGGAAGGCUCAGCAAUUCAUCUAGACCGGAAUUAAUGAUAAUCCAGGUAUUUUUUUCUGUCCAAAGGAUCUCUGCUAGCGUCACUCUCUGAUGGCAUACAGAAUGCUUGAUCUGCUGACAUGGAAUCCAACAUAACAUCCCCCUGAACCAGAAGACGCAUUUUACAGGAAAGGAGGUAAGGAGAUGAGCAUAGAGCCAUGGGAUUCCUGGUUCUAUCACCUAUACCAGAAGCUUCCAGCAUGAUAACAUGACAGAAAGAUCUUUUGAAAGCACAGUCAAGGCGCCAGCUUAGAGAUGAUUCCCUGAGAGUUUGGCAUACUAUCUCCCCAAAUGCAAUGUACUCCCCAACUUAACUACCAGUAGAGUAUGAUGUGUCCCCGAAAGGGAGAAUACAUUGGUCCUGGAAGCAAGGGACAGAGAAGCAGAUUUGGUCCUGGUCAGUACCACUCCCAGCGACCCUGUAAGAGGUGUGCUUCUCAUCCCUCCAACUUUUGGCUCUGUGGGUCUAGAGGUCCAAGUUCUCAGAGGAGUUAAUGUUUCCACCUAGGGACACGGAACGGUCCCCAUUAGACUUUAAGCUCUGACUUCUACCUGGUGGAAAACUUUAAAUGUGUGGCUUUUAUGGUAUGUCAAGUAUAUCUCAAUAAAGCUGUUAUAAAAUAAAUGAGUAGGGCUUCCCUUGUG